rnacentral:rRNA from 1 species
GACGAACGCUGGCGGCGUGCCUAAUACAUGCAAGUAGAACGCAGUUGCGAACGGGUGAGUAACGCAUAGGUAACUGCCUGGUAGCGGGGGAUAACUAUUGGAAACGAAAGCUAAUACCGCAUACUACAAGAUGGACCUGCGUUGUAUUAGCGAGUUGGGGGGGAAACGGCCAACAAAGGCAACGAUACAUAGCCGACCUUAGCGGGUGAUUGGGCACACUGGGACCGAGACACGGCCCAGACUCCUUCGGGAGGCAGCAGUAGGGAAUCUUCGGCAAUGGACGGAAGUCUGACCGAGCAACGCCGCGGUAGUGAAGAAGGUUUUCGGAUCGUAAAGCUCUGUUGUAAGAGAAGCGGUAUCUUACCAGAAAGGGACGGCUAACUACGUGCCAGCAGCCGCGGUAAUUC